rnacentral:rRNA from 1 species
AGAAUCAACGCUGGCGGCGUGCCUAACACAUGCAGGUCGCACGAGAAAGGGGAGCAAUCCCUGAGUACAGUGGCGCACGGGUGAGUAACACGUGAAUAAUCUACCUCCGAGUGGGGAAUAACUGAGAGAAAUCUUAGCUAAUACCGCAUAAUACCCACGGGUCAAAGCAGCAAUGCGCUUGGAGAGGAGUUCGCGGCAGAUUAGUUAGUUGGCGGGGUAAUGGCCCACCAAGACGAUGAUCUGUAUCCGGCCUGAGAGGGCGCACGGACACACUGGAACUGAAACACGGUCCAGACUCCUACGGGAGGCAGCAGUGGGGAAUUUUGCGCAAUGGGGGAAACCCUGACGCAGCAACGCCGCGUGGAGGAUGAAGCCCCUUGGGUGUAAACUCCUUUCGAUCGGGAAGAUAAUGACGGUACCGAUAUAAGAAGCCCGGCUAACUUCGUGCCAGCAGCCGC